rnacentral:rRNA from 1 species
UACAGAGGUCUCAAGCGUUGUUCGGAUUCAUUGGGCGUAAAGGGUGCGUAGGCGGCGCGGUAAGUCGGGUGUGGAAACUCUCGGGGCUUAACUCCGAAACUGCAUUCGAUACUGCCGUGCUUGAGGACUGGAGAGGAGACUGGAAUUUACGGUGUAGCGGUGAAAUGCGUAGAUAUCGUAAGGAAGACCAGUGGCGAAGGCGGG